GCCAGAUUUUAAAAGAUAUUUAGGUGUCUAAAUAGUCAGACUCGAAUUGUACAUACUCCUAUGUCUAGUGACAGCUUGAGGGCCUAAUUCAGCCCUACACUAACCCAACCCCAUUUAAUUGCACCUAUUUUACACCAGGAUGAUUUUGGACCCAAACUUUUUUCAUGGAGGUCACACUAUUUUUUUCAUUUACAUAUUGUGAUUUUUUUUUAAACUUUUCUGAGCCUAGGACUUGGGGUGUAUUUUUUAAUAUGUGUUGUGCAGACAAUGUGAUGUAUAAUUCCAUUUACUGUAGGUGUCCCUUCAUGAGAUAGCGGGAUAGUCUGCAUGUAGAGCUUUUCAGUAUUUGUACCUUCAUCUACACACACUCUGAAGGGUUGCUGCAAUGACUUUAUUUCCACCUUCUUCAUUAAUCAUCUGGCCUCUCAUCUUGUGGCAUUCAGCCCCAUUCCCAACACCAACACCACUGAGAUAGUACUGUGGAAUAUGGAGCCUGAGGAUCAUAAACAUCUGGCCAAAUUAUCUUCAGUCCCUGUUGGAGGCAUUUGUUCUGACCUUCGCUACUUCUUAGCAUUUUGCAAUGGAGAGAACUACCUUCAAUCAUGGAACUUGGCUUCCAAGAUCAAUGACCAAUCUUUGACUGCUACUGCAAACAAAGGAAAGAAAACAAAUAGAAUUCAGGAGAUUGUGACUAUACAAAACUAUCCCAGGUAUAUUGUAUGCAGAAGUCUGAAUUCUGGAGUCAUUACAGCGUGGAAUGUAGUGAAAUCAAAGUGCAAAGGCGAGGCAGUAAUAGUGGAGAGAGGACUGGUGGAGAAUGUUGUGCUGGUUAGAGACAUGAAACUCUUUGUCCCUACUGACAAAGGGAUGGCUUCC
rnacentral:lncRNA from 1 species